rnacentral:rRNA from 1 species
CCUACGGGAGGCUGCAGUGAGGAAUAUUGGUCAAUGGGAGGAAUCCUGAACCAGCCAUGCCGCGUGCAGGACGACGGCUCUACGAGUUGUAAACUGCUUUUGUACCGGGGUAAAAUGCCUUACGUGUAGGGUUUUGAAAGUACGGUAUGAAUAAGGAUCGGCUAACUCCGUGCCAGCAGCCGCGGUAAUACGGAGGAUCCGAGCGUUAUCCGGAUUUAUUGGGUUUAAGGGGUGCGUAGGUUGUUUUAUAAGUUAGCGGUGAAAUACCGAUGCUCAACAUCGGGGCUGCCGCUAAUACUGUAGGACUAGAGAUCGGAUGCAGCAGGCGGAAUGUGUAGUGUAGCGGUGAAAUGCAUAGAUAUUACACAGAACACCGAUUGCGAAGGCAGCUUGCUAGGCCGGAUCUGACGCUGAUGCACGAAAGCGUGGGGAUCGAACAGGAUUAGAUACCCGUGUAGUC